GAUGAAGAACGCAGCGAAAUGCGAUAAGUAAUGUGAAUUGCAGAAUUCAGUGAAUCAUCGAAUCUUUGAACGCACAUUGCGCCCCUUGGUAUUCCGAGGGGCAUGCCUGUUCGAGCGUCAUUAUAACCCCUCAAGCUCAGCUUGGUGUUGGGGCCUGCUGCACUGGCAGCCCUUAAAAUCAGUAGCGGCGCCAUCUGGCUCUAAGCGUAGUAAUUCUUCUCGCUAUGGAGUCCUGGUGGAUGCUUGCCAUCAACCCCCAAUUUUUCUAUGGUUGACCUCGGAUCAGGUAGGGAUACCCGCUGAACUUAAGCAUAUCAAUAAGCGGAGGA
rnacentral:misc_RNA from 1 species